ACGGGGGACAACUCCGCGAAAGCGGGGCUAAGACCGCGUACGCUCUCUUUGGGAAGAGCAAAGAGAGGAGAAGGAGGCGUGAGGAGCGCCUGCUGACCUGUGCGGGGCGUGCGUCUGAUUAGCUAGUUGGUGGGGUAAGAGCCUACCAAGGCGACGAUCAGUCGCUGGUCUGAGAGGAUGAUCAGCCACACUGGGACUGAGACACGGCCCAG
rnacentral:rRNA from 1 species